rnacentral:rRNA from 1 species
UACGGAGGGUGCAAACGUUGCUCGGAAUCAUUGGGCGUAAAGCGCACGUAGGCGGCUUCUUAAGUCGGGUGUGAAAGCCCUCGGCUCAACCGAGGAAGUGCAUUCGAAACUGAGGGGCUUGAAUACUGGAGAGGAUGGCGGAAUUCCCGGUGUAGAGGUGAAAUUCGUAGAUAUCGGGAGGAACACCAGCGGCGAAGGCGGCCAUCUGGACAGAUAUUGACGCUGAGGUGCGAAAGCGUGGGGAGCAAACAGGA